GGCGUAAGGAGCUCGUAGGCGGUUUGUCGCGUCUGCUGUGAAAAUCCAAGGCUCAACCUUGGACCUGCAGUGGGUACGGGCAGACUAGAGUGCGGUAGGGGAGAUGGGAAUUCCUGGUGUAGCGGUGGAAUGCGCAGAUAUCAGGAGGAACACCAAUGGCGAAGGCACAUCUCUGGGCCGUAACUGACGCUGAGGAGCGAAAGCGUGGGGAGCGAACAGGAUUAGAUACCCUGGUAGUCCACGCCGUAAACGGUGGGUGCUAGUUGUGGGCCACAUUCCACGUGGUCCGUGACGAAGUUAACACAUUAAGCACCCCGCCUGGGGAGUACGGUCGCAAGACUAAAACUCAAAGGAAUUGACGGGGGCCCGCACAAGCGGCGGAGCAUGCGGAUUAAUUCGAUGCAACGCGAAGAACCUUACCAAGGCUUGACAUAUAGAGGAAACGUGCAGAAAUGUACGCCCCGCAAGGUCUCUAUACAGGUGGUGCAUGGUUGUCGUCAGCUCGUGUCGUGAGAUGUUGGGUUAAGUCCCGCAACGAGCGCAACCCUCGUCCUAUGUUGCCAGCACGUAAUGGUGGGAACUCAUGGGAGACUGCCGGGGUCAACUCGGAGGAAGGU
rnacentral:rRNA from 1 species